GACGAACGCUGGCGGCGUGCUUAACACAUGCAAGUCGAACGGAAAGGCCCUGCUUUUGUGGGGUGCUCGAGUGGCGAACGGGUGAGUAACACGUGAGUAACCUGCCCUUGACUUUGGGAUAACUUCAGGAAACUGGGGCUAAUACCGGAUAGGAGCUCCUGCUGCAUGGUGGGGGUUGGAAAGUUUCGGCGGUUGGGGAUGGACUCGCGGCUUAUCAGCUUGUUGGUGGGGUAGUGGCUUACCAAGGCUUUGACGGGUAGCCGGCCUGAGAGGGUGACCGGCCACAUUGGGACUGAGAUACGGCCCAGACUCCUACGGGAGGAAGCAGUGGGGAAUAUUGCACAAUGGGCGGAAGCCUGAUGCAGCAACGCCGCGUGCGGGAUGACGGCCUUCGGGUUGUAAACCGCUUUCGCCUGUGACGAAGCGUGAGUGACGGUAAUGGGUAAAGAAGCACCGGCUAACUACGGG
rnacentral:rRNA from 1 species